UAGGGAAUCUUCGGCAAUGGGGGGAACCCUGACCGAGCAACGCCGCGUGAGUGAAGAAGGUUUUCGGAUCGUAAAGCUCUGUUGUUAAGGAAGAACGAGUGUGAGAAUGGAAAGUUCAUACUGUGACGGUAUCUAACCAGAAAGCCACGGCUAACUACGUGCCAGCAGCCGCGGUAAUACGUAGGUGGCAAGCGUUGUCCGGAUUUAUUGGGCGUAAAGCGAGCGCAGGCGGUCAAUUAAGUCUGAUGUGAAAGCCCCCGGCUCAACCGGGGAGGGUCAUUGGAAACUGGUUGACUUGAAUGCAGAAGAGGAGAGUGGAAUUCCAUGUGUAGCGGUGAAAUGCGUAGAUAUAUGGAGGAACACCAGUGGCGAAGGCGACUCUCUGGUCUGUAACUGACGCUGAGGUUCGAAAGCGUGGGUAGCAAACAGG
rnacentral:rRNA from 1 species